AUUGAACGCUCGGCAGGCCUAACACAUGCAAGUCGAGCGGAUGAAGGGAGCUUGCUCCUGGAUUCAGCGGCGGACGGGUGAGUAAUGCCUAGGAAUCUGCCUGGUAGUGGGGGAUAACGUCCGGAAACGGGCGCUAAUACCGCAUACGUCCUGAGGGAGAAAGUGGGGGAUCUUCGGACCUCACGCUAUCAGAUGAGCCUAGGUCGGAUUAGCUAGUUGGUGGGGUAAAGGCCUACCAAGGCGACGAUCCGUAACUGGUCUGAGAGGAUGAUCAGUCACACUGGAACUGAGACACGGUCCAGACUCCUACGGGAGGCAGCAGUGGGGAAUAUUGGACAAUGGGCGAAAGCCUGAUCCAGCCAUGCCGCGUGUGUGAAGAAGGUCUUCGGAUUGUAAAGCACUUUAAGUUGGGAGGAAGGGCAGUAAGUUAAUACCUUGCUGUUUUGACGUUACCAACAGAAUAAGCACCGGCUAACUUCGUG
rnacentral:rRNA from 1 species